GCGACGACGGGUAGCCGGCCUGAGAGGGCGACCGGCCACACUGGGACUGAGACACGGCCCAGACUCCUACGGGAGGCAGCAGUGGGGAAUAUUGCACAAUGGGCGAAAGCCUGAUGCAGCGACGCCGCGUGAGGGAUGACGGCCUUCGGGUUGUAAACCUCUUUCAGCAGGGAAGAAGCGCAAGUGACGGUACCUGCAGAAGAAGCGCCGGCUAACUACGUGCCAGCAGCCGCGGUAAUACGUAGGGCGCAAGCGUUGUCCGGAAUUAUUGGGCGUAAAGAGCUCGUAGGCGGCUUGUCACGUCGGAUGUGAAAGCCCGGGGCUUAACCCCGGGUCUGCAUUCGAUACGGGCUAGCUAGAGUGUGGUAGGGGAGAUCGGAAUUCCUGGUGUAGCGGUGAAAUGCGCAGAUAUCAGGAGGAACACCGGUGGCGAAGGCGGAUCUCUGGGCCAUUACUGACGCUGAGGAGCGAAAGCGUGGGGAGCGAACAGGAUUAGAUACCCUGGUAGUCCACGCCGUAAACGUUGGGAACUAGGUGUUGGCGACAUUCCACGUCGUCGGUGCCGCAGCUAACGCAUUAAGUUCCCCGCCGG
rnacentral:rRNA from 1 species